GAUGAAGAACUUAUCGAAAUGCGAUAAGUAGUGUGAAUUGCAGAAUUCAGUGAAUCAUCGAAUCUUUGAACGCACAUUGCGCCCCUUGGUAUCCCGAGGGGCAUACCUGUUCGAGCGUCAUUUCACCACUCAAGCCUGGCUUGGUGUUGGGCGACGUCCCCUUUAGGGACGCGCCUCGAAGCGCUCGGCGGCGCGGCACCGGCUUUAAGCGUAGCAGAAUCUUUCGCUUUGGAAGUCGGGGCCCCGCCUGCCGGAAUACCUACUUGUAAGGUUGACCUCGGAUCAGGCAGGGAUACCCGCUGAACUUAAGCAUAUCAAUAAGCGGAGGA
rnacentral:misc_RNA from 1 species